rnacentral:lncRNA from 1 species
AGUGGAAGACUUAAGAUGGCGGCGUUUGCACGGAGUGCAAUCACUGCGUCCUUACGGGGGUUGCAAGGCGUCCGAAGUAUGAGUCCACUAACAAAAGUCCAGAAACUCGCCAGUUAAUAGUAUUGUGUCUCUUCAAAAUAUCGGAGAAUAAUUUCUUUCUCGCUGAUCGCCUAACUUCUACUGACGAAGCUUGGAAGUUGCAGAAGAUGGAGUUCGCUCUUGUUGCCCAGGCUGGAAUGCAAUGGCAUGACCUUGGCUCACUGCAACCUCUGCCUCCCCAGUUCAAGUGGUUCUCCUGCCUCAGCCUCCCGAGUAGCUGAGAUUACAGAAAUCAACACAUUGAGUCAAGAAAAAUGAAACACAGAAACACUCUAAAUAAAAGAAGAUAAGUCUUCAGAAACCAACCCUAAUGAAAUGAAGAUAUGUGAUUAACCUGACAGGAAAUUAAAAAGAGCAACCAUAAAGAGUCUCAUGGGAGCAAUGCAUGAACAAACUGAGAAUUUUCAUAAAGAAAUAAAAGAUAACAAAAAGUAUAAAGUUGAAGAAUACAAUAACUGGACUCAAAAAUUUAAUGUGUCCAACAGAAGAAUCGAUGAAGCAGAAGAAAGGGCUAUCAAACUUGUAGAUAGGCCAUUGGAAAUCAUGUAAUGUGAGGAGAAAAAAGAAAAAAGAUUGAAGAUAGUUUAAGAGACUUUUGAGACAUCCUCAAAGGGGAAUAAUUUAUACAUUACCAGAUGGAGAAGAUAGAGGGAAAAGGACAGAAAACAUAUUUGAAGAAAUAAUGUCAGAAAACCUCAUAAUUCUGGCAAGGAAAUAGAAAUUUAGAUCUAAGAAUCUCGAACAUCAGGUAUGAUGAAUCCAAGGAGACUCACACCAAACCAUAUUGUAAUUAAAUAAAGGUUAAAGACAAUCUUCAGAGCAGCAAGGGAAUAGUCUCUUCUUACAUACAAAAUGAUCCACGGAAGACUGUCAGCAGACUUCACCAGAAAACUUUCACGCCAGAAGGCAGUCGUGAUAUAUACAAAAAGCUGAAAGGAAAACACUGCCAUCCAGGAAUACUAUCUCCAACUAUCCUGUGUUUCAAAAAUUAAGGAGAAAUAUAAAGUUCUCAAACAAAAGAUGUGGGAGUUUACCACCACUAGACCUGCACGGGAAGAAUUGCUAAAGGGAGUCCUUCAAGCUGUAGUAAAAGAGUGCUAAUUAGAAACAUGAAAAC